rnacentral:lncRNA from 1 species
GACGCCUCCGGCCCCGAGUGUCUUCUGGCCGAUCCAGGACAAUGUCAUCAGUUGUUUUGGGGGAACCCAAAUCCCCACAUUCUGUUUUACUCAGCAUAUCCCAGAAGCUACGCCGGCCCGCUUUGCUGGGUGGAGUCACAGGCUCCCCAGGGACAGGGGCAGGGGGAAAGGUGCUAGCUCGGCCUGCAGAGCUCUUAGUUUCCAACGAUCCGUUCCUGAGACUUCCUGUGGGUGUGUCCUCUGUACAUAGUGAAGCUGGCAGCAGCUGAAGCUCGAUGAUGGCAUCGGCCAGGGCCUGGCGAGCUGCUCCUCGGAGUUUCUC